rnacentral:rRNA from 1 species
AAUCAACGCUGGCGGCGUGCCUCAGACAUGCAAGUCGAACGCGAAAGUUCCCUUCGGGGGAUAAGUAGAGUGGCGUCCGGGUGAGUAACACGUAGGUAAUCUACCUUUGGGUGGGGAAUAACAACCGGAAACGGUUGCUAAUACCGCAUAAUGCAGCGGCACCACAUGGUGACAGUUGUUAAAGCGGGGGAUCGCAAGACCUCGCGCCUAAAGAGGAGCCUGCGGCGGAUUAGCUAGUUGGAGGGUAACGGCCUACCAAGGCAACGAUCCGUAGCCGGCCUGAGAGGGCGGUCGGCCACACUGACACUGAAAUACGGGUCAGACUCCUACGGGAGGCA